rnacentral:tRNA from 1 species
GGAUCGGUAGCUGAGACGGUGUAGCGCCGCGUUGAAGCCGCGGAGACGUGGAUUCGAGCGCCACCCGACCCA